AGCCUUGAGGAUUAUUCAAGGUGAAACCUGCCCAGUGCGAAUAGUCAACGGCCGCAGUACCCUGACUGUGCUAAGGUAGCAUAAUCAGUUGGCUUUUAAAUGGAGCCGGGAAUGAACGGAUUCAUAGGGUUAAGCUGUCUCUCUCAUAUUUAAUUGAAUUUACUUAUUAGGUGAAAAUGCCUAAAUUAAGAAAAAAGACGAGAAGACCCUAGGAGUUUUUACUAAUACUUUAUACAGGUUACGUUUUUGUUGGGGCGACAUGAGAGGAGUAAAACCUCUUUUUCUUUAUUUGCCGACUACAGUAUGAAAAUUUAAACUACCCUAGGGAUAACAGCGUAAUUCUUUUUGAGUUUGCGACCUCGAUGUUGGACUAGGAAUUUGGUGGGCUAGCCGCCUAUUAUAAUUGUUCUGUUCGAACUAUUUUUCCUACAU
rnacentral:rRNA from 1 species